GAUGAACGCUGGCGGCGUGCCUAACACAUGCAAGUCGAGCGAGAAGCUUAUGAUUGAAUCUUCGGAUGAUUGAUUAAGUGGAAAGCGGCGGACGGGUGAGUAACGCGUGGGUAACCUGCCCCAUACAAAGGGAUAGCCACUGGAAACGGUGAUUAAUACCAUAUGAGAUCGUAGAGUCGCAUGACUUAGCGGUUAAAGAUUUAUCGGUAUGGGAUGGACCCGCGUCUGAUUAGCUAGUUGGUAAGGUAACGGCUUACCAAGGCGACGAUCAGUAGCCGACCUGAGAGGGUGAUCGGCCACACUGGAACUGAGACACGGUCCAGACUCCUACGGGAGGCAGCAGUGGGGAAUAUUGCACAAUGGGCGCAAGCCUGAUGCAGCAACGCCGCGUGAGCGAUGAAGGCCUUCGGGUCGUAAAGCUCUGUCCUCAAGGAAGAAUAAAUGACGGUACUUGAGGAGGAAGCCCCGGCUAACUACGUGCCAGCAGCCGCGGUAAUACGUAGGGGGCAGCGUUAUCCGGAAUCACUGGGCGUAAAGGGUGCGUAGGCGGUUUUUCAAGUCAGAAGUGAAAGGCUAUGGCUCA
rnacentral:rRNA from 1 species